rnacentral:lncRNA from 1 species
UUUGUUCCUUCAUCUGUGAGACUAGGGUGAGUCCUCCGAGCUAGUGUGAGACACUUGGAACUUGCUGUUUCCUGUGAAUUGAAAUGUUCCCUGGUGAGUUUGUCAGGAGUGUGAAGAGGCUCAAGACUCAGGAAGAUAAUGAAAGUUACAAGGCUUGCAAAGCUCAUAAAAGUUACAAGAUCCACCAGUAAUUGCUGGGAGAAGAAGAGAUUGUCCUCUGGCACUGAGCCCCAGUUGUGGAGGGACCAUUAGAGAUGUGGCUUCUGUGAGCUGAUCCUGAAUGAUCAGCACAAAGCAGUGUUAAGUACAGAAAUACAAAUUCGGAACACAGGUUCAAUAGCAUCACACAGUUGCCAGUUUCACGAAGUUUCUCAGUUAAAAUGGUCGUCUACUGAAAUUAACAAGGUGCCAAUGACUCAUGGGAUUGUCAGGAGUAGAAAACAUUGGAAGAGCUAAAACAGAAAGAAACAAACAGACCGCCCCCAACCCUUGCCACAUCCCAAACAAAACAUCUGUUGGUGAGACACAAAUGGACCUGCACUUAAACAAUUUCAUGCUACUUGCAGCUGAAGAAGGAAGUUGCAAACUAAAGAGACAUAUGAUACCUUCUUAUUUAAUAACUUCUAGAAUGCCAAGAGAAUAGAGAUUAUUUAUCCCACCUGAUGAGUUCUCCAUAUGGGGACUGUCCCUGUUGAAAUGGUCAACCA